CGAAGGGGGCUAGCGUUGCUCGGAAUCACUGGGCGUAAAGCGCACGUAGGCGGCUUUCUAAGUCAGGGGUGAAAUCCUGGAGCUCAACUCCAGAACUGCCUUUGAUACUGGAGAGCUUGAGUCCGGGAGAGGUGAGUGGAACUCCGAGUGUAGAGGUGAAAUUCGUAGAUAUUCGGAAGAACACCAGUGGCGAAGGCGGCUCACUGGCCCGGUACUGACGCUGAGGUGCGAAAGCGUAGGGAGCAAACAGGAUUAGAUACCCUGGUAGUCCACGCCGUAAACGAUGGAUGCUAGCCGUUGGCGGGUUUACCCGUCAGUGGCGCAGCUAACGCAUUAAGCAUCCCGCCUGGGGAGUACGGUCGCAAGAUUA
rnacentral:rRNA from 1 species